AAAGUCGUAACAAGGUUUCCGUAGGUGAACCUGCGGAAGGAUCAUUAACACGUUAUCCAACGUUAUUAAACCAAACGCGAACUGUCCUCCCUAAUAGAAAGAAGUUAGCUGUACUGUGAGAUUUUUGGUGGGUGGGCUGGCACUUCGGUGCUAAGUCUACGAUCGAUCAGUACUAAAGGUUUGACCUUAAGGCUAUAAGUUUUCUGUUAGGCUUACUUAUAUCUCAUCUCAUCUUACCACUCAUAAGAUGGUUGGGGUAGACCAUAACCAAUUUCACCUUUACUAAACCAUUUGACUAAUACAAUGCUGAUUGCUAGACUUCGGUCUGGUAAGAAGCAACUAAGUUUAUCUAAACUAAGCACAACUCUUAGCAAUGGAUAUCUUGGUUCUC
rnacentral:misc_RNA from 1 species